rnacentral:rRNA from 1 species
UAUUCCUACGGGGGGCAGCAGUGGGGGAUAUUGCACAAUGGGGGAAACCCUGAUGCAGCGACGCCGCGUGGGCGAAGAAGUAUUUCGGUAUGUAAAGCCCUAUCAGCAGGGAAGAAGAAAUGACGGUACCUGAGUAAGAAGCACCGGCUAAAUACGUGCCAGCAGCCGCGGUAAUACGUAUGGUGCAAGCGUUAUCCGGAUUUACUGGGUGUAAAGGGUGCGUAGGCGGUCGGAUAAGUUAGAGGUGAAAUCCCGAGGCUCAACUUCGGAAUUGCCUCUGAUACUGUUCGGCUAGAGAGUAGUUG